AACUUUCAGCAACGGAUCUCUUGGCUCUCGCAUCGAUGAAGAACGCAGCGAAAUGCGAUAAGUAAUGUGAAUUGCAGAAUUCAGUGAAUCAUCGAAUCUUUGAACGCACCUUGCACUCCUUGGUAUUCCGAGGAGUAUGCCUGUUUGAGUGUCAU
rnacentral:rRNA from 2 species